rnacentral:lncRNA from 1 species
AAACUUUUCACUCUUGCUUUUCGCAGUUGCAUGUGUUAUUAAUAUUCUUUUAACGAUAUUUACUUGGAAGCAUUGGAACGGCUGUAUUUUAAACAAUGUCAUGCCUAGUGUCAAUGUUGUUUUGGAAGCAGUGGUAGGGGAGAGUGUUUUGUGGUCCAUGGCUAGAGCUAGGGCUCUCCAUGAACUCCUGUGUCUGUCUAUCCUGUUGACUGAACAUCUACAUCUUCUCACAAUACAAGCCAAGCCCUAG